CCGGCGUAGAGCUGGUUGGACAUCCAUCCAAGUAAGAUGGAUCUCCUGGAGCGCCGGGCUCCCGCCUGGAGAGCGCUACCUUCUCCCGGCCGAAUGUAAACAUUCAGCCCUUCCGCUGAGCCUGCCCAGGCCUUUUCACUUGCUGCUCUCCUGCACGCCCCCCAGGGGUUGGGAGGGUGCUCUCGAGGGGCUUGAUGCGUGGUGCCGACCCAGCAGUCACUUUUAAAGCGCCUACUGUGUACCAGGUGUUAGUUUUGACUGGCCCUCUCCGUGACUCGGUGCAGUACGAGCGAGGAGGUCCAUUUCACCAGUGAGGAAACUGAGGCACUGGAAAACUAGCCACCGUCCUGCAUUGGGACCAGCAUUAAUUGUACUCCCGAAAAGUUGAGGCAGUAGCUUGCUUCUGUUUUCCAAAUUGUUUGGAAGUCACAGCUAGAAGGAGUAUAGGGCGUGGGGUGGGACGGUCAGGAGGAUUUAUGAACUGCCCCCGGGGCGAGGGGUGGCUAUUGACACGAAUCUACAGGAGUUCCAAGGUUGAAGUCAGCUUAGAUUUUUUUUUAAGCGAAUCAUGGUGAAGUGGAAAGCGUGCAGGACUUGUCAUCGGAACAGGGCCACUCUGCCACUUGCUGAGUGUGCCACCUAACUGCCUCUUUGGCCUCAGUUUCCUUAUCAAUUGAGUGAGUGGGUUGAACUAGUUGCUCUCUGAGGCCCCUUCCUGCAUUAAGAACUCGGAUUUGGUCCAGGGGCUGUUCUGCCAACUCUGCUAACUGAAGAAACAUCUGUGUUCCCAAUUUCAUUCCCUUAAAAUAGAACUCCUGCACAGGAGGUUCAAGUCCCCUUUGAAUUGGAUUUGUGCACGCAGAGUGUGCAAACCAGAGACUUCUUGGGCUGGAGUACCAGGUCCCUGUGUUCAUGACUCUUUAGCAGGGUCCUUACUGAGGUCCAUCUGUCCUUGGCUUGACUGUCCAUAGUGAAUUUUCAGAGUCGAAGAAAGAAGAGACUCUUGGAGUUUAAAUGGAACAAUGGCCUCCUUUAGGUACACGGAGACAGCUGAAGGUCAGUUGUGCUCUGUGGAAGGGAAGAAAGGUGCCUGCAGUUCAGGUAGCAAAUCCCAUUCUCACCUCUUCAUAUAAAUUCAACAUUAAGAUGUUAUGUAAAGGAAUUGUCACUGGGGGGCCCACCUUCCUGAAGGCAACCGACUUAUGCACAGUGGGGAGAUUAGUGCUUAAAGUCUUCUUGCCAAGCUAUUGAAUUUUUAAGAGAUCCUCCCUGGUCCUGGGGGAGUACCAGGAACCCAGAAACACACUGAAGCCCUGUUUGCUGUAAACUUAUCUGGGCUUCCAGUCUUUACUGGUGCGGUUUGUUGGUGGAAGGGUGAACUCUUUCUAGACUGUCUGUUGCCAUGUACCCUCCUAUCUCCAACUUGGUGGUUAGGGAAGCAGAGCUCUGACAGUUUUGUUACCCUUCCUUCUGCUUUCCACUCUGAUUUCAGAAGGCAAUCCCAAGAGAUGGUGUGUCUUAUCAAAGGAAAAAGUGUGAAGGAAUUUAAGACACACCUAUCAGCUAUAGUUUAGCCAGGGACACACAAAUCCCAAGAUACUGUUGUGCAUUGAAAGUGUGAGUAAGGUGUACAGUUGUGCAUUUCAGCUCUUCAUCUGUCCUGAAUCUCCCUAUGUCCCUUCCAAAGCUAAUAUUCUAUACCUAGCUGUUUAUUAAGCUUAUUUACUCUUGGCCUGUUCCAGCAAAUGGUUUUGUUUACUGUAAAAAAUGUUUAUAAUAGGAUCUUUUAUUUUACCAUAAGAAUCACACAGCUCUCUGUUUUAAGGGUAUAUGCCUUGCCAUUAACAUCAUGUCAACCAAGUCAUUUAAAAAGUGUCUCCCCUGUGCAUAGACCAAACCACAAUAUCACUAAUUUGAUGCGUCUUGACCUCCUAUAAUAGGAAACACUGCAAGGUAAACAUUUACUUGAGAAAUUUAUGCAGGAGAACUCCCUUUGACUUCCAAAAGAAAAUUAUUAACACAACAUGUGAUUUUAAUAUUCCACACAUCACAGUCCUAAAAAAAUGUUUCUACUUGGUUCACUUUUUGCCUGGGACUGUCAGUCAUGAUUUAAUUUUUAUAUAGUCUAUUGAUCAUGUGGUCUGGAUUACAAAGCCCUAAUACAUGACAAAAUACACAGUUUUCUGUUUAUUCUCUCACAGGAAUAUACACCAAGAUUCCUCUCCUUGUGUCUGGAAAAAAAUAAGAGGCAAUGUGCAAUAUACGUGUUGUUACCUUUUUGGAAUGUAAAAUUCUUGGUGAAACAAUAGAAGUCCACUCGCCUUUGAGGGUGAAAGGAAUCGGGUGUCAGAGAAUCACCUGUGGGAGUUUAUAUCUCAGAAAAUAGCUAUCUUUGCCAAUCAUUGCUUAUAAAAAUGGUUAUGAAUCUUUGCAUAGUAGUUUUUCUGAAAUCGAUUUUGUUUUUCUUUUGGUUGCAUAAUGUGGAUGGCCUUCUGUUUUUUUAAUACAAUGCUUUUGCUGUACCAGGUUGCAAGAGAGCAGCAGAGACAAUUCCCGUGCAAGGAGGAAGGAGCAUCUUUUCUAUCUAAGCUCUAUUAGAGUCUUUGUCAAGUAAAUUAGUUUAUGUACUUUUCACUGCAACUGAUGAAGAGACUAUCUCCAUUUUAUAGAUGAGAAAACUGAGAUUCACACAAGUAAAUUUGAGUUGAUCCCUAAUCUUCAGCGGGCAUGACUGGAGUCCAUCCCCCUUCCCUCAUCAGAAGAAUCCUAAAACUCAGAUUAUUAGAAAAAGUUUAAAGCUCUGUUGGCAGAAAGCCAGGAUUUCUCUGGUGAUUCAGUUGGUAAAGAAUCUGCCUGCAAUGCAGGAGACCAGGGUUCGAUCCCUGGGUUGGGAAGAGCCCCUGGAGAAGAAAAUGUCAACCCACUCCAGUAUUCUUGAGUGGGAAAUCUCAUGGACAGAAGGAGCCUGGUGAGCUACAGUCUAUGGGGUUGCAAAAAGCUGGACACACUGGGCAACUGACACACACACAUGCUGCCCCUCCACAUUUUCCAGCUCAUUAUUAGCAAUGAAACAGAUGGAUAAAGGUGGUUUGGCUCUUCUGGUCAAUGAUAUGGUCUCGUUGCCCUAAGGCAUUGCUUUGAUUUGGGGCUUCUAACACUGAGUAAUUCCCAAAUUUUGAGGGUGCUUUUUUACCCUAUGAGACAGUGGUUCCAAAGAAAGCACAAACAGCAGUGCAUAACUGUUGUGCAAAUGUGCAAAUUUGGUAAAUCUAUGUGGAGCUUCUCUGCUUCAUCUCAUCUCUUCCCCGUCUCUCUCCCCAGGUAUUUACUGACUGCCUCCUCCCAGCCCGUGCAUUUUGAUAGGUGGGCAGAGUUAGACAGUCUAGCUUCUUGUCAAGGGCUCUGUUCAAGGGCCUUCAUCCUCUGAGGUCAGUGAGCCCAUCUGUGAGAUGGUGAUCAGAGUAGCUGCUCCAUUACAUUGCCAUGAGCAUCAGAGGAAAUAUUGGAUGUGAAAAUUAUUUGUCAUCUCUCAAUACUUGGGCAAAUGCAAAGGAUUUAUAACCCAGACCCCUAUAUGAAGCUUUUGUGGCUAUGUUUAUAUGCUGUGUCUCAGAAUCAUAGGUAGAUGAGACCAUGAAACAAAAACUCAGUAACAAUAUUAUAGCAAAGACCACAAAGCAUCCACGUCCAAAAGGAGAAGUUCACACUGGCCUAGCAGGUUGAAGACAGAUGAUUUUCAUUCAUUGUUGAUCUAAAUUUUAGCUGAGAAGGCAACCCCUAAAAUUUAGCACUAUUUUGAGCCAUCCCAUCUUCACAGUAUAUUCUGAUCAUGCUUUAGAGAAGGUUCUUUGUUCAGAAUUUUGAGCAUUACUUUGCUAGCAUGGGAAAUGAGUGCAGUUAUGCAGUAGUUUGAAGACUGUUCCUCCUUUGACUUUGGAUACUAGAAGGUGGGGUAACUGAGUUUAUGGUGGGGGUGGGAGAUGUUUGAAGGGGCAGGUGCUCAGGCAGAUUUGGUUUGAAAGGCUUGGCUUCUGUGCCAUUCCUUACCAGGAAACACGGUUAGUGAGGCAAAGAAAAAGAAACUCAAAUGGGUAAAAAUAGAGAAUUUGGAUAGUCAGCAACUAUGCUAAUAACUUAGUGGUUCUAGAAUGUUUUUGGACACUUCUUGAUUUGCAGUUAAAUGGCUGAAACAAAAUUCUAGAACUGGUUCAGUCUAUGGGAUAAAUAAAAUUAUCAUGUAUUAUUAUUAAACUCUUCACUUUUAAUAGUGAGAGGGAGGCAAUGUGAUGUAGUGAAGAGGAUGGGAGACUUGGAGCCAGAAGUUCAGGUUCCAGGGUGGCCAGAGCCAGCAGCUAGUUGUGUGGUUGUGGCAAGUUAGUUUUUAAUGGGUCUCAGUUUUUUCCAACAGCGAAAUGGCUGGUUGGGCGGGAUGGUGUCUAAUGUCACGAGCUGCCUUGUGACUUUCCAGGAUGGAUUUCUAGUAGAGAGGAAUGAAGCUUGGAUUUAUGGAAUGUCUGCCUGGUACCUGACACUUGUGCUCUGCUUAGCUCUUGGUUGUAUAUUAGCUCAGGAAGUCACAAGAGUAAGGGCCUAGGAAUAGGAGCUCUGGUCUUGUGCUACUGUGUCGCUGUGUGACUUUGAGAACAUUCCCUUAAAUUUUGUGGGCCUGAUUUCUUGAUUAUGAUCACAAAGGAAAGGGAUUAGAUCAUCUCUCAAACCCCUUCUAGCACUAACGAUUUUAUGAAUCUGUGCUGAUAGAUAACUGGUGUAGAAAUCCAGAAAUUGCUUCUCAUAGAUUAUUUAUCAACAGUUAAAUUUUUAUGUUUUUGUGUCACAGAAGUAUUGCUGACAAUUAGCUUGAAUUGGGGUUCAUUCUGGAGGGAUAAAGAGCAUUGUCUUUUCUUAGAGUUCAUCCAAUAUGCUGAGAACCUGGCUAGAUUUUUUCCUGGCCAGAUGUGUCCUUUCACCUGCUUCCUAAAAUUUAUAGGAAUUACAGGUGAAGAAGGAAGCAAGCCCAAUGGGUUUUCCCUUCUAUUUUUUUUUUAAACUCUGCUAUUAGAGUCACUAAGUAUGUAUUUUUAAUAAUGCAGCAGACUUUGAUAACUUAAUCUACCACAUGAACCAAAGAAUUUAGAAAUAGAUUUUCACUUAAUAACUAGUGAACCUUCCAGCCAAGAAGCAUCCUGAACUGAUAGAAACGAGAAGGGAGCCUCCAUUUCGUAGGUAAGCCCUGCUGACUCCUCCAGGCCAGUUGAAAACGUUUAUUUCUUCAUUGUUUGGAUUGGCUAGUUCCCCCCCCCGCCCCCUUAGCUCUUUCAUCCCUUUCUCUUGUACUUGAUAUAUGCCAUAGGGGUAUAGCUGCCUUUGUGGGAGACUGUUGAAGUCAGGGUUGGUGGCCUCUUCCACGUUUAGUGCUAUUGAUUUCCUGUCAAUUUGACAUUCUUUCUUUUCCACUUCCUGUGCAGUUGUUUGGGCUGGCAAGCCCUGCUGUGCAUAGCAUGAUGUUAAUAAUGCCAACCCCCUGGGGCUACUUCCCAGUUUAAAAAGUUUUAUUAAUGGAGACUUGCUACCCUGAGUGUCAGUUUAACAUGGUACACAUUAUUUGGGGAGUGAUAACUUUCAGGAUUCCUGCUAUAUCAGUACUUCAUAACCUCAGCUAAUAAGAACACCUGUCUGGUGUGAAAUACAGAUUCUCAGGCUUCUUUCCAGAAGAUUCAAAUUCAGUAUGCUCUGGACCACGGCCUAGGAUUCUGUGUUUCAUAAAAGCUUCUAGUGAUUCUUAUCAGGCUAAAUUUGAGAAUCACUGUGUUGUUUAAUAGCUAGUGUCUUAAUGGCGAUUGAGAAAAAGCUAUUGGUUUAUAGAGAAGGAUUAAAUGUUCUGGCACUUUUUAAAUUGUUAGGUUGUCUGUAUUUUUUUUUUUUUUUCUGUUUGUGGUCAGUACACCUGUCUUUUCCAAUAAAAAUGUUUAAGACACCUAGAGAUGACCAUCCUAAGUGAAGUGAGUCAAAGA